GAUGAACGCUAGCUACAGGCUUAACACAUGCAAGUCGAGGGGAAACGAUAUUGGAAGCUUGCUUCCGAUAGGCGUCGACCGGCGCACGGGUGAGUAACGCGUAUCCAACCUGCCCACCACUUGGGGAUAACCUUGCGAAAGUAAGACUAAUACCCAAUGAUAUCUCUAGAAGACAUCUGAAGGAGAUUAAAGAUUUAUCGGUGAUGGAUGGGGAUGCGUCUGAUUAGCUUGUUGGCGGGGUAACGGCCACCAAGGCGACGAUCAGUAGGGGUUCUGGGAGGAAGGUACCCCACAUUGGAACUGAGAUACGGUCCAAACUCCUACGGGAGGCGGCAGUGAGGAAUAUUGGUCAAUGGGCGAGAGCCUGAACCAGCCAAGUAGCGUGCAGGAUGACGGCCCUAUGGGUUGUAAACUGCUUUUAUAAGGGAAUAAAGUGAGCCUCGUGAGGCUUUUUGCAUGUACCUUAUGAAUAAGGACCGGCUAAUUCCGUGCCAGCCGCCGCGGUAA
rnacentral:rRNA from 1 species